CAACGAGUCGCCAACCCGCGAGGGUGCGCUAAUCUCUUAAAACCAUUCUCAGUUCGGAUUGCAGGCUGCAACUCGCCUGCAUGAAGUCGGAAUCGCUAGUAAUCGCGGAUCAGCACGCCGCGGUGAAUACGUUCCCGGGCCUUGUACACACCGCCCGUCACACCACGGAAGUUGGGAGUACCCAAAGUAGGUUGCCUAACCGCAAGGAGGGCGCUUCCUAAGGUAAGACCGAUGACUGGGGUGAAGUCGUAACAAGGUAUC
rnacentral:rRNA from 1 species